CGGUGUGUACAAGGCCCGUCACACCACGAAAGUUGGCUCGACCCGAAGUCGCUCACCCAACCGCAAGGAGGGAGGCGCCAACGGUCUGGUCGAUGAUUGGGUG
rnacentral:rRNA from 1 species